rnacentral:ncRNA from 1 species
CACAUUGCUUUGCGGAGAAGAGUAACCGAAGCGCAGAUCGACAGCGAGCCUGGACAGUGUGAGCAGGUGAUCGGCUAAUCGGUGAAGAUGAGCUCCAAAUAGCUUUUCAGUGGUUCACGCCAUUGAAACGGGUGCACCCGUUAUGAUGCCAGGUAUCAGUUUUGGUACUGUUGAGGUGUUAAUGUUAAAUUAACACGAAUAAGGGUGGUAACGCGCACCGUCGCCCCUUGA